UGUCUACAGCAUACCACCCCAAACGCUCCUGAUCUCACCUGAUCUCAGAAGCUAAGCAGGGACAGGCCUGUUGAGUACUUGGAUGGGAGAAAUAUCUAUUCAUAU
rnacentral:rRNA from 1 species